AUUGAACGUUGGCGGCAGGCUUUAGACAUGCAAGUCGAGCGGAAACGAUACCUUCGGGUAGGCGUCGAGCGGCGGACGGGUGAGUAACGCGUAGGAAUCUACCCAGUAGUGGGGGACAACUAGUGGAAACGCUAGCUAAUACCGCAUACGCCCUAAGGGGGAAAGCGGGGGAUCUUCGGACCUCGUGCUAUUGGAUGAGCCUGCGUGAGAUUAGCUAGUUGGUGAGGUAAAGGCUCACCAAGGCGACGAUCUCUAGCUGUUCUGAGAGGAAGAUCAGCCACACUGGGACUGAGACACGGCCCAGACUCCUACGGGAGGCAGCAGUGGGGAAUAUUGCACAAUGGGGGCAACCCUGAUGCAGCGAUGCCGCGUGAGUGAAGAAGGCCCUUGGGUUGUAAAGCUCUUUCGUCGGGGAAGAAAAUGACUGUACCCGAAUAAGAAGGUCCGGCUAACUUCGUG
rnacentral:rRNA from 1 species